rnacentral:lncRNA from 1 species
CCGCACACGCGCGCGCGCGCACACAAGCACACACACACACACACAUUUGCUCACACAAACCACACAAACUUUAAGCCUUGUGAAGCUGCCCAGGUGGUGUGUAGGAAAUUUUGGUAGAGAAAGAAAUAGUUUGAAAGUUGGUUUCUGACAAGAGGAAAGAAAAGGCUGCAACACUAAAGGAAGACUCAAAGUGUUAAAAGGACGCUCAAAAUGUAGUAUUGUGGCAGGUCGGGCAGAGACGGGGUUUUACUGUGUUAGCCAGGAUGGUCUCGGUCUCCUGACCUCGUGAUCUACCCGCCUCAGCCUCCCAAAGUGUUGGGAUUACAGGCAUGAGCCACCGCGCCCAGCCGUCUUGUCAAAAUACUCUAAGACUUCAUCUGUUUAGAAUCAAAAGUGCGGAAGACCUGGGAAUUAUGUAAUAAGGAUAGCAGAAUAAUCCUCGUCACUGACAGGUGGUGAGCUGUAAAGUGUUCUUUUGUUGCAGUGGCAGAGAUUUCAGCAAUGGAGGGAAAUCCAGUGGCCAAGAUGCUUACCUGUCUCGGUGUCCAGCAUGUGUCCUGGAGGAGUGCCCCUAAAGCACCUUCAGCUGUUUAUUUAAACACUUGACUCCAGGCUCUGAUGCAUUUUAAUUUUUCAACAUUUAAAUUUAGCUGUUUUAAUGAGGUUUUAGUUUUAAUAAGUAACAAAAGAUUUUUUCAGUAUUAAUUAUCAUGAGGUCUUAAACUCUGUAAUCUAUAUAAAACUCAGAGAGAACCUGUCUUGAGUAGUUUAAAUCUCUAAUUAAAUCAGUAUUUCUACCUAGCAACAGAGUAGCAAAAGUAUUAAUUCAGUGGUUCUCAAUAGGGGUAGGGGAGCAGAUUUUGACCGCCAGCCCAGGGCACAUUUGGCAAUGUCAAGAUGUUUUUCGCUGUCAUAACUUACGGAGGGGAUAGGUGCUACUGGCAUCUAGUGGGUAGAGGUCACGGAUGCUGCUGAAUAUCCUGCAGAGCUCAGGACAGCCCCUAUCUCCAUAAAAACUUUUCUGGCCCAGAAUGUCAAUAGUGCAACUGUUGAGAAACCUUCUAUAAAAUGAUUGGUGUGGGUAAGAGAAUAUACUAAAAUGCUAAAAUAGCAGGCUUGAAAUUAUUUGCAUAUCAGGAGAGUGGAGUUUAUAACUGACUGACUAAAAACUCUGGUGUAGGACCUAUCCUCCAGAGGCGAUGCUAAAUCUGCGGAUAGGACACUAAAUCAGCAUCUGUAAAAUUUGAAACAUAUCUCCACGGUGGGGUCAGACCAAAGAAUGGUAAAUGUUGCUUUGAUUUUAAAAAGUUGGAAAUGAUGUUUCUCAGAGGAAAUACUAGGUCUCAGUUGAGCUGUGAGAGGGGGCAGGUUGCUAUGUUUUUUUCUCUACAAUAGUGCACAGUGUCUUUUGAAUGGGAGAAGUUCUGAAUACCCUACUGAAGUAGCCCCUGCUGCAGUGUUCUCUACCAUGACAUGCUCUUUUUGCUUUCCCAGCACUUUUAUUAACUUUUAAUUAAUUUUUAUUGUUCAUGUUGCUAUUGCUAUUAGUCUACUGUCUGUCUCAUUGGACUGUAAGCUCUAUGAGAGUGGCAAAUAUAUAGUAUCACUUAAUAUUGUAUGUCUAGUAGCUACCAGAGUGCCUGCCGUUAUAACGAGCAUGGAUAAAUUUAAUAUUUUUGAAUUAAAUGAAUGAAUUAAACAUGUUUGUAGUGUGACUUCUUAGCAUAAUGCAUCCAUUUUCAACAGCAGAGAAUCUUCUACCAUACAAAGAGAACAUUUCCUCAGAAAGUUCUUACUUUCUCUUUUGUCAUAUUCCUCUUAUUAAGAAAAAUUCAAGAAUUGGCAACUAGGACCCCUUUAUUUGAUCCAUUUCCCUAUUGAUUAUGUGUAAGGACCUUGAAUCAUUGAACAAUCUCUGGAAAAUGUUUCUCUUCCUGAGUUAUUUAAAGAAAAGAGAAUAUGAGUGUCAAUAGUCAUACAGAAGGUACUGUUGCCUGAAUACUAUGCCCCUAAUUUUAAUAGUCAAAAGGCAGCGAAUUUCCUUCCAGGCUUUUACAGAACGGAGUUAAAACUAAGUCUGCAUUUACACGUGGACCAUCAAAAUUUUAACAAUUAGACGCUGGGUAAGUGGCUUAAAACACUUUCAUUGAAAUUUUUGUACCUUUCCCUAAUUAGGCAUUCAAACAAUGGACACAUGUGGAAUCUGCCAGCCCCAAGUUCCCAGCAGCUCUUAGUAAAGGUGAUUGAUGGCUACAUAAAACAUGAUCUUAACUUUAGGCUUCCUUAAGCAACUAUGUAUUUAUCUUAAAUAUUUCUAGUCCGAUUGUCCCAGGUUCAACUGGUACCUGAGAAUCCUUGGAAGUGGGACCAUUGACUGAUUUAGUUCAGACUUUCCAGCUUACAGCUGACUCCCUUUACCACAGACAUUCUUAUCUUUAAAGUGCUACCUGAGGUCUUUUUAGUGAUAUUUACCAAUUUUUAAAAUUUUGAGUGUUUCAGUAUGGUGGCAGUUUCAUGUUGGUGUUAUCCCAGGAAAAGUUUCCUAAAACUUGGAAAUGAGGCAAAAAGAUGAUUACAGUCAUUUCAAUAUCAUGUUACAGAAGUGCCUCUCGAAGUUUAAUGUGCUCCUGAAUCACCUGGAAAUAUUUUCAGAUUGUAGAUUCUGAUUCAGUGCAUCUGGGGUGGGGCCCCCAGAUACUCAAUUUUAAAUAGUCUCAGGUGGUAUCAAUGCUCCUGAAUCAUAAGCCACAUUUUGAGUAACAAGAUGCUAGGGCAAAUUUUUGAAAACCCAUGUAAAAGUCCAUGUCUCUUUCUAACGCAGUGGUUCUCAAACUUGCUUGCAUCUUAAAAUCACCUGGAGAGGUUUUAAAACUCCUUCUACUCAGACCUCACCUGUUUCCAACUAAAUGAGAAUAUCAGAGGUAAGACAUACUUAUUGGCAGCUUAAAAAGCUUCCCAGAUGUUUCUAAUAUUCUCUAACAGAAUAUGGCUUUGUUUACAGUACAGAUUAAGGGCAUUUUUUAUACUUCUGUAAAACUGGUAAGGCGUGAUGGUUUUGUUUUCCUGUAAUUUUACCAACUUUGUGUCUAAUUUGGCACUUUAUUUCAGGUUUUUCUUUUUUCCUACUGACUAAAAGUUUCUGUUUUUCAAAUACUGUUUGGAACUACUUUGUCAUCUUGCUAGUUCCCACAUUAAUGAGUGAAAUGAAACUUUGACACAGAAUGCUUUGAUGAUUUUUAUUCUAUCCAAUCUAUUACCAUAAUUUCUUAGCUAGUAGCUGUAUUUUCUUUUUGAGCAGCAGCCAAUCUUUAUGGGAAGUUGGUAAAGAAUAUAUUAUAAAUAAAUUCAUACACUAUUUUGGUGUCUCCCCA